rnacentral:rRNA from 1 species
CGGCAUAGCUGGGUAGCUAUGUAUGGACGGGAUAAGUGCUGAAAGCAUCUAAGCAUGAAGCCCCCCUCAAGAUGAGAUUUCCCAACUUCGGUUAUAAGAUCCCUCGAAGAUGACGAGGUUAAUAGGUUCGAGGUGGAAGCGUGGUGACACGUGGAGCUGACGAAUACUAAUCGAUCGAAGACUUAAUCAAUUUUUAAA